UACGGAGGGUGCAAGCGUUAUCCGGAUUUACUGGGUUUAAAGGGUGCGUAGGUGGGUCUGUAAGUCAGUGGUGAAAUCUUCAAGCUUAACUUGGAAACUGCCAUUGAUACUAUAGGUCUUGAAUUAUCUGGAGGUAAGCGGAAUAUGUCAUGUAGCGGUGAAAUGCUUAGAUAUGACAUAGAACACCAAUUGCGAAGGCAGCUUACUACACAGUUAUUGACGCUGAGGCACGAAAGCGUGGGGAUCAAACAGG
rnacentral:rRNA from 1 species